rnacentral:rRNA from 1 species
AUUGAACGCUGGCGGCAGGCUUAACACAUGCAAGUCGAGCGGGGGAAGGUAGCUUGCUACCGGACCUAGCGGCGGACGGGUGAGUAAUGCUUAGGAAUCUGCCUAUUAGUGGGGGACAACAUCUCGAAAGGGAUGCUAAUACCGCAUACGUCCUACGGGAGAAAGCAGGGGAUCUUCGGACCUUGCGCUAAUAGAUGAGCCUAAGUCGGAUUAGCUAGUUGGUGGGGUAAAGGCCUACCAAGGCGACGAUCUGUAGCGGGUCUGAGAGGAUGAUCCGCCAAACUGGGACUGAGACACGGCCCAGACUCCUACGGGAGGCAGCAGUGGGGAAUAUUGGAAAAUGGGGGGAACCCUGAUCCAGCCAUGCCGCGUGUGUGAAGAAGGCCUUAUGGUUGUAAAGCACUUUAAGCGAGGAGGAGGCUACUUUAGUUAAUACCUAGAGAUAGUGGACGUUACUCGCAGAAUAAGCACCGGCUAACUCUGUGCCAGCCGCCGCGGUAA